UCGGGAAUUUUGGGCAAUGGGCGAAAGCCUGACCCAGCAACGCCGCGUGAAGGAUGAAAUCCCUCGGGAUGUAAACUUCGCAAGAAUGGGAAGAAUUAGUAGGGGCUAAUACCCCCUAUGAUGACGGUACCAUUUGUAAGCUCCGGCUAACUCCGUGCCAGCAGCCGCGGUAAUACGGGGGGAGCAAGCGUUGUUCGGAUUUACUGGGCGUAAAGGGCGCGUAGGCGGCCAGCGCAAGUCAGUUGUGAAAUCUCCGGGCUUAACUCGGAAAGGUCAACUGAUACUGCGCGGCUAGAGUGCGGAAGGGGCAACUGGAAUUCUCGGUGUAGCGGUGAAAUGCGUAGAUAUCGAGAGGAACACCUGCGGCGAAGGCGGGUUGCUGGGCCGACACUGACGCUGAUGCGCGAAAGCCAGGGGAGCGAACGGGAUUAGAUACCCCCGUAGUCC
rnacentral:rRNA from 1 species